GAAUUAUAUUCAUUAUAGAAUUAGAUUGUUUAAAUUAGAUUUAUAUUGUUUAGGAAUCCAAUUAUUAUUUAGGAAUAUUUAUAGAGUUCUAUUAGGUUUAGUAUUUCUUAUAUUUAGGAAUUUUGUGUUGAUUUGAGAUUCCUAAUUAGUAACUUGAUUAGGAUUUUCUUGUUUAAGAAUUCCAAAUUCUAAUAAUAGUAGAAUUAAUAUUGUACUAUAAAUAACUGUCUUUUAGGUAUUUUAUUAGAGUUCUUAUGAUAUUAUUGUUGAUAAUUAAUAAAAUUCGAAAAUC
rnacentral:misc_RNA from 1 species